CUACGGGACGCAGCAGUGGGGAAUAUUGCGCAAUGGGCGAAAGCCUGACGCAGCGACGCCGCGUGAGGGAAGAAGGCUCUCGGGUCGUAAACCUCUGUCAGGAGGGAAGAACCGCGUGGAGGCGAAUAGGCUCCGCGUCUGACGGUACCUCCUAAGGAAGCGCCGGCUAACUCCGUGCCAGCAGCCGCGGUAACACGGGGGGCGCGAGCGUGAAUCGGAGUCACUGGGCGUAAAGCGCGCGUAGGCGGCCCGGCAAGUCAGAUGUGAAAGCCCUCGGCCCAACCGAGGAAUUGCAUUUGAAACUGCCGAGCUCGAGUCUCGGAGAGGAUGGCGGAAUUCCAGGUGUAGGAGUGAAAUCCGUAGAUAUCUGGAGGAACACCAGUGGCGAAGGCGGCCAUCUGGACGAGUACUGACGCUGAGGCGCGAAAGCGUGGGGAGCAAACAGGAUUAGAUACCCCAGUAGUC
rnacentral:rRNA from 1 species